rnacentral:rRNA from 1 species
GUAGGGAAUAUUGGGCAAUGGUCGGAAGACUGACCCAACCAUGCCGCGUGCAGGAAGACGGCCCUCUGGGUUGUAAACUGCUUUUAUCUGGGAAGAAAAAGGCCAUGCGUGGCAAAUUGCCGGUACCAGAUGAAUAAGCACCGGCUAACUCCGUGCCAGCAGCCGCGGUAAUACGGAGGGUGCGAGCGUUGUCCGGAUUUAUUGGGUUUAAAGGGUGCGUAGGCGGCUGAUUAAGUCAGCGGUGAAAGACUUCGGCUUAACCGGAGCAGUGCCGUUGAUACUGGUUGGCUUGAGUGUCGGAGGGGUACAUGGAAUUGAUGGUGUAGCGGUGAAAUGCAUAGAUACCAUCAGGAACACCGAUAGCGAAGGCAUUGUACUGGCCGACAACUGACGCUGAUGCACGAAAGUGUGGGGAUCGAACAGGAUUAGAAACCCGGGUAGUCC